UACGGGGGGAGCAAGCGUUGUUCGGAUUUACUGGGCGUAAAGGGCGCGUAGGCGGUCAGCACAAGUCAGUUGUGAAAUCUCCGGGCUUAACUCGGAAAGGUCAACUGAUACUGUGCGACUAGAGUGCGGAAGGGGCAACUGGAAUUCUCGGUGUAGCGGUGAAAUGCGUAGAUAUCGAGAGGAACACCUGCGGCGAAGGCGGGUUGCUGGGCUGACACUGACGCUGAAGCGCGAAAGCUAGGGGAGCGAACGGG
rnacentral:rRNA from 1 species